AUUGAACGCUGGCGGCAGGCCUAACACAUGCAAGUCGAGCGGAUGAAGGGAGCUUGCUCCUGGAUUCAGCGGCGGACGGGUGAGUAAUGCCUAGGAAUCUGCCUGGUAGUGGGGGAUAACGUCCGGAAACGGGCGCUAAUACCGCAUACGUCCUGAGGGAGAAAGUGGGGGAUCUUCGGACCUCACGCUAUCAGAUGAGCCUAGGUCGGAUUAGCUAGUUGGUGGGGUAAAGGCCUACCAAGGCGACGAUCCGUAACUGGUCUGAGAGGAUGAUCAGUCACACUGGAGCUGAGACACGGUCCAGACUCCUACGGGAGGCAGCAUUGGGGAAUAUUGGACAAUGGGCGAAAGCCUGAUCCAGCCAUGCCGCGUGUGUGAAGAAGGUCUUCGGAUUGUAAAGCACUUUAAGUUGGGAGGAAGGGCAGUAAGUUAAUACCUUGCUGUUUUGACGUUACCAACAGAAUAAGCACCGGCUAACUUCGUG
rnacentral:rRNA from 1 species